rnacentral:lncRNA from 1 species
CAGUUUCCUUGUCUUCUAAGUAGGGCAGACUCGUAGGUUUCAUUUUGUAGUAAGAUUCUGUAAGAUUCUCUUUUUUUUUUUCUAGGGAUGUUUUUCAUUUAGAGUGUUUGUCAGUAUUUUUUUGGAGUCACAAAGGGAAACACAGAGGAGAUACAGUGAGAUGAUACAAACUUCCUUUCCUGGGGAAGGCAGCUGUUCAUUUUCCAUCUUAAAUGUGAUCACUUUUCCUUUUCUUAGUGUCCAGCUAGAAACCUGCAUUCCUUCCAGACCUGCUCAUACCCCUCUAAUCUCUGAUCAGCAAUUCAAUGUAGCGUGCAUUUGUUGGGGGCACCUUGGGGAUAGGGUGGGGAAAUGUGUUUUAGUCAUGAGCAGAUAUAAUAACCUCAUUCAGUGAGAAGUUGAUGUGAGAAAUGGUGGUCUUGUGUUUCCCGUGUGUGUGUGUGUGUGUGUGUGUGUGUGUGUGUGUGUGUAAUUUUUGGUAGAGAUGAGGGUCUAGCCAUGUUGUCCAGGCUGGUCUUGAGCUCUUGGCCUCAAGCAAUUCUCCUGGCACAGCCUCCCAGGGUACUGGGAUUGCAGUUGUGAGUCACUGUGCAAGGCCCCUAAAUCUAGAUAAAUGGCCCUACCUCCAAGACCAGAAACCUCGGUGUUUCUCUCCAGGAUCUUGCUACUUAUUGAUGACACCGUAUCAAGGCGCCAGAGUCCAAAUGGUCAUCAUAAGAAAAACUGCACCUAACUUCCACAGCCUCCUAGGAGGCCCAGAGACAUCACUGUACUUGCCUGCCAUCCUAUGUGGUGCUGGAAAAAAAAAAAAAAAAAAAAAAAGAGGGGGCAAGAGAAAUAAAACAAGUUUCCAUAGUAAAACAGCACAUAGCUCAUCUUCUGCCGUGGUUACGAUUAGCACUGAAACGUGACUGUGAGCU